UGCCAGCCGCCGCGGUAAUACGAAGGGACCUAGCGUAGUUCGGAAUUACUGGGCUUAAAGAGUUCGUAGGCUGUAAUAAGGUACUUUGUGAAAUCCCACGGCUCAACCGUGGAAUAGCUUGGUAAACCAUAUGUCUUGAGGCAGGUAGGGGUGGUCGGAACGAUAGGUGGAGCGGUGAAAUGCGUAGAUAUCUAUCGGAACGCCAACGGAGAAGUCAGGCCACUGGGCCUGUCCUGACGCUGAGACACGAAAGCAUGGGUAGCGGACGGGAUUAGAUA
rnacentral:rRNA from 1 species